GUUUCUAUGGUGUAAAAAUGCACAUUAGAUUUUCAUUCUAAAGGAAUAAAAUUAUUUUAUUAGAAAUA
rnacentral:tRNA from 1 species